rnacentral:lncRNA from 1 species
UACUCAGCCCUUACUUCAGGUUUACUCCAUCCUUAGCCCAGGCUUACUCAGCCUUUGGCAUUGCUACUUCAUCCUUACUCCGAGGUUACUCAGCAGUUUGGAUUCUCUGCUAUUCUGCCCUUACUCCAGGUUUAAUACACCUUUACUCAGGGCUUACUCAGCCUUUGGGGUUCAGCCUUUACUCUGAGGUUACUCAGCCCUUCUUGGAGGGUUACUUGGUACUCUGUCACUACUCAGCCCUUACUCUAAGGUUACUCAGCCCUUGUUUGGGCGUUAUUUGCCACUUUUUCUCUACCCAGCCCUUACUCUGACUUUACUCAGCCCUGCUUGGAGGGUUACUCGGUACUACUAUCACUACUCAGCCCUUACUCUAAGGUUACUCAGCCCUUUUGUAGGAGCUAUUUGGUACUUUGUCUUUACUCAGACCUUACUCUGAGGUUACUCAGCCC